rnacentral:ncRNA from 16 species
GCCCUCUUGGCUUAGUGGUAAAGCGCAUCACUAGUAUGAAAAUGCCACCUGGCAGUUUCUAUCCAAAUGAUGAGAUCGCUAGUUCGAUUCUGGCAGAGGGCA